AAGCAGUGGUCAUUGAGAAAUGGAGAUGGGUCGGAUCGAGUGUUCGACCGAGGAGCGUUUGUACAGACUACGCGCGGAAGGUCCAGCCCAUGCCGAGCUGCCUGCAGACGACCAUGGCCUCGAGGACUCCCCAGCCGUCCCCGCAAACUACGCCCCAGCCGCGCUUGGGGAUGUACACCUCCAGGCGGCCCUCCUGCCUGCUGCGGCCACCUGCUAGGCGCACCUUUACGCUGCCUCUGCUCUUGGCCUGCGGAAAGAAGACCGUGGUCAGCAACGAGCUGUCACUACAGCUUGGUUCUGAGUCCGAGUUGAGGUUCCAAAGGCAAGUGUCUGCUCGCGUGGACGUCGGGAUCAAUGCAGUCAACACCUUUUCGCACAUGCACGGAAAACGCUGUACCUUCUCACAUUGAGCGACACCUGAAGCAAGCUGGAGCGAAGUACCUCUCGACCAACCAGGCAGAGGUGCCAGACAGGCCCACUUCGUCGGUCCAUCACAUAAACGCAUCAGCUGAGAAGACUGUGAUUUACGGCCGAAAACCAGGAGAACGUGUUCCACUCAGUGAAAGCCUUCGUGAUCGCACUUCCGCAGCCGUUGAUACUGCUCCAAAAACUGUUUUUGCCCAAGGAUACUGAACCCCGAGUGUUAAUGAACGGAAAGCUGAAAGCGUUGCUGGUUAAGCUGGGACAAUGAAGACCUGGGUGAGCUUUGUCGAACAUUGCCUUGCAUAAAAAGUUCAUUCUUUUUGGGACAUCGUCGUGAA